rnacentral:sRNA from 1 species
UACACAUAAUUAACAUUAAAAAAUAGCUAACUGUGGUGACAUGUGAGUUUACAUGUAGCACUUACAAGUCAGAAGUCAAUAAAUCUCUGAGUUAAAAGACAGCCCUGUCAUCAAGUGAAUUUCCAUUCCAGCUAAAUUGAACAAGUAAGCACCUAUUUAAAAGGCAUUCAAACAAAAAAGUAAAUAUAUCAAAGUAACAAUUUUUAAAACAGAAGAAAAAAUCAUCAUUCAAUCACAAACCAAUGCUUUUAGUAAAUAACAAACAUUAUGUUAAUGGCAAGUGCUUCAUUUACAUGAGCACAUCAGAUCCUCUAAAAAUCCACCUUAUCAAGCAAAAUCUGACUAAUGCAGAAUAUCAUUGAAGUAGUAUCUUUUAUACUUUAGUGAUUUCUCCUGAUAUUACAAGUAUCUAGUGGUUUCGUACAUUCUCUAAUUUUGUUACAUUUUUCCUAAGCACUCUUUCUUUCCUUUGUAUAGAGAUCUAAAUGUGAAAAUAAUUCGAUAUCCUGUAGGCAUCAUUGCUCAAAAAGCACCUUGAAUUUAUCCCUGACCAAUUUAUACAGGGGUUUAUGAAGACCCCCCACUUUCAUACUAGCAAUAGGACAACUUAAAGCUCAUUGCAACCUGCCUUGUGUCAUUAGCUUUCGAAAAUAUUUUGAAUCUCUGCAGCCUGGCAACCAUACAAGCAUGCGUGAUUGGAGGGUAAUGCUAGCUCACUAGCACAGAAUGGGGGCAGAGGCCAGUGUGAUUACUUAAGUCAUGCAGCAGGUCCAGUUCAGAGAAGUGGCAUACAAAGAUGCCUGUCAAAGCACCCUAGGACUGGUCAGCAAGGCAAUGCAGCAAACAAGGGAUUGAUUUCUGAAAACAUGACAGAAGAGACUAAUGGUUCAAGUGCAACUCAUUGGCUGCAAGGUUCCCCAGUAUGGGGCAUGUGCAAAUAGCAUAGGAUGAUAGACAAGAUCAGCAGCACCAAUGGGUUGGAGACAGCUCUAGCCCGAAUGUCCAACUGUAUAUGUGCUACAGAGGAAGAGCUAGAGAAGUUAUGGAGAUCUUUAACAGAUGCCAGAAAAAAGUUGGAUUAUACACACAAGGAACAACACCACCCAGGAGAAAGAGGCAGAAAAAUAUGAAUCUCAAGACCAUCCUAUGGAUUUCUCUGGACAGUCUGAAUCCAUAUCAGAGGAAAGGUGAUAUAUGUUCUGUGCUGUUGUAUGCUAGAUAGAAGCAAAAGGAUUAUUAAAGUUUAAAGACAGCCCAGGCAUGAGACAUUAUCUCACAACUUUCAAAUA